rnacentral:rRNA from 1 species
UACGUAGGUGGCAAGCGUUGUCCGGAUUUACUGGGCGUAAAGGGCGCGCAGGCGGUCGUUCAAGUCGCGUGUGAAAGCCCCCGGCUCAACUGGGGAGGGUCACGCGAUACUGAUCGACUCGAAGGCAGGAGAGGGAAGUGGAAUUCCCGGUGUAGUGGUGAAAUGCGUAGAUAUCGGGAGGAACACCAGUGGCGAAGGCGACUUCCUGGCCUGUUCUUGACGCUGAGGCGCGAAAGCUAGGGGAGCAAACGGG